GGAAGAGGAUGUUGUGCAUGGGCAGAAAGGUGAAAAUUGUGGCCAGAGGCAGACGGUGAGAUGGAUUCUGUUCUCCAUUGCCUUCUGUCUGGACUGGUCUUGUAACUUGUUCUGGUUAAUAGAAAGAGGUAAAUGUGAUGACACAUCAGAAGCCCAGGCCUCAAGCAAGCUUUCCCACUAGUUCUCUUGGAACCCUUCCCAGCUACCAGGGAAGUUGGUGACUUAAUCCUAGUUAUACCCUGAUUUUGGACAAAUUUUACAAGAAAAAUAAGACUUCUACUUCUCUAUGUCCACAUGCAUCUGGAACAGUGCUAGGCCUAUGCUUACAAAUUGAUUGGUUCAGGUCACUGCCAUGAGCUCCAGGACAGAAAAUUGCCAGAUAUGAGAGAGAGAGAGAUUUGACUGGGCUAAGAAAGAAAUGAACAUGAUUUAGAGACGGA